rnacentral:tRNA from 1 species
GUAUGUAUAGCUCAGUGGUGGAGUGUGUGCUUAGGGUGCAUGAGGUCAUGGGUUCAAUCCCCAGGUACCUCCA